GGGUCAGUAGGUUGGUCGUGCCACCGGUACGUACUGGUCUCACUGAUUCCUCCUUCCUGAAGAACCGUAAUGCCAUCAAUUUGGUGUUGCGGGGGAAACAGGACUGUUACUUUGAAAAAAUUAGAGUGUUUAAAGCAAGCUAACGCUUGAAUACAUUAGCAUGGAAUAAUGAAAUAGGACGAUCGAUCCUAUUUUGUUGGUUUCUAGGAUUGACGUA
rnacentral:rRNA from 1 species